rnacentral:rRNA from 1 species
GAUGAACGCUGACAGAAUGCUUAACACAUGCAAGUCAACUUGAAUUUGGGUUUUUAACUUAGGUUUGGGUGGCGGACGGGUGAGUAACGCGUAAAGAACUUGCCUCACAGCUAGGGACAACAUUUGGAAACGAAUGCUAAUACCUAAUAUUAUGAUAAUAGGGCAUCCUAUAAUUAUGAAAGCUAUAAGCGCUGUGAGAGAGCUUUGCGUCCCAUUAGCUAGUUGGAGAGGUAACGGCUCACCAAGGCGAUGAUGGGUAGCCGGCCUGAGAGGGUGAUCGGCCACAAGGGGACUGAGACACGGCCCUUACUCCUACGGGAGGCAGCAGUGGGGAAUAUUGGACAAUGGACCGAGAGUCUGAUCCAGCAAUUCUGUGUGCACGAUGAAGUUUUUCGGAAUGUAAAGUGCUUUCAGUUGGGAAGAAACAAAUGACGGUACCAACAGAAGAAGUGACGGCUAAAUAC